rnacentral:rRNA from 1 species
AUUCGACGCUGGCGGCAUGACUUACACAUGCAAGUCGGACGAUGAUGAUGGAGCUUGCUCUAUCUGAUUAGUGGCGGUGGGGGGGGUACUGCAUAGAUAAUGUGCCCCUUGGUUCGUGCUAGCCACUGGAAACGUAGAGUAAUACCGGAUAGUCCUUCCUGUCUCAAGCCAAGUCGGGAAAGUGUUUCGCUAAGGGAUCAGUCUAUGUUCGAUCAGGUGGUUGGUGAGGUAAUGGCUCACCAAGCCUAUGACGUAUAUCUGGUUUGAGAGGAUGAUCGGACACACUGGAACUGAGACACGGUCCAGACUCCUACGGGAGGCAGCAGUGGGGAAUAUUGCACAAUGGAGGAAACUCUGAUGCAGCAACGCCGCGUGGAGGAUGAAGCAUUUCGGUGUGUAAACUCCUUUUAUUAGGGAAGAUAAUGACGGUACCUAAUGAAUAAGCACCGGCUAACUCCGUGCCAGCCGCCGCAGUAA